rnacentral:rRNA from 1 species
GACGAACGCUGGCGGCGUGCUUAACACAUGCAAGUCGAACGGAGUACCCUCGAAAGAGAUUUCGGUCAAUGGAGAGGACUACUUAGUGGCGGACGGGUGAGUAACGCGUGAGGAACCUGCCUUUCAGAGGGGGACAACAGUUGGAAACGACUGCUAAUACCGCAUAACGUACGGGUAUCGCAUGGUACUGGUACCAAAGAUUUAUCGCUGAGAGAUGGCCUCGCGUCUGAUUAGCUGGUUGGUAGGGUAACGGCCUACCAAGGCGACGAUCAGUAGCCGGACUGAGAGGUUGGCCGGCCACAUUGGGACUGAGAUACGGCCCAG